AGCCUUGUGGUGAAACCACAUUAGGUUGCAAACCUAAAGAUGCAAAUUACCGUUUGCCUGGGCUU
rnacentral:tRNA from 1 species